AAACUUUCAACAACGGAUCUCUUGGCUCUGGCAUCGAUGAAGAACGCAGCGAAAUGCGAUAAGUAAUGUGAAUUGCAGAAUUCAGUGAAUCAUCGAAUCUUUGAACGCACAUUGCGCCCGCCGACACUCCGGCGGGCAUGCCUGCCCGAGCGUCAUU
rnacentral:rRNA from 1 species